rnacentral:rRNA from 1 species
CGGUCACGUUCGUUGCCUUCAAGAAGUAUAUUUGCAAUAAAUUUAUACCGAAUACAUAAAAAUGUACUCAAAGUAUGUUAUAUGCUAUAUACAUUUAUUUGAAACGCAAUUAAGCAGACAAAUCACUCCACGAACUAAAAACGGCCAUGCACCACCUAUCACACAAUCAUGAAAGGACUAUCAUAUUUGCCUUUAUAAAUAUAAAAAUAUUUAUAAAUUAUCACCUGUCAAUCCCCAGUGUGUUCGGACCUGGUAAGGUAUCCCGCGUUGGGUCAAAUUAAGCCACACGCUCCACGCGUUCUUGUGGUGCCCUU